CGGCGAUGAGGAGACGUACGGUGCUGAGUUGCGGUGAUAGCCCUAUACGCUAUUCUGAGCCGGCG
rnacentral:snoRNA from 1 species